UACGUAGGAUGCAAGCGUUGUCCGGAUUUACUGGCGUAAAGCGCGCGUAGGCGGCUCGAUCAGUCUGUUGUGAAAGUCAAAGGCUCAACCUUUGAAUGCCGAUGGAUACUGUCGAGCUAGAGUCCGGAAGAGGCGGGUGGAAUUCCUGGUGUAGCGGUGAAAUGCGUAGAUAUCAGGAGGAACACCGGUGGUGCAGACGGCUCUCUGGACCGUAACUGACGCUGAGACACGAAAGCGUGGGUAGCAAACAGG
rnacentral:rRNA from 1 species